AAAAUAUUAGCCCUUUUGUACUAAAAGUGUUUUUUUACAAAAACAAAAAUUAUAACUUAUAUUGACCCCUCAUAAAAGGGAUAUUCAUAACAUUAAGGGGUAGUUCUGAACCUGAUUAUGACUUGGAUGGAGAAUUGUCUCAUUGUCAGUCACACAUACUUGGACCAGAUUUAAUUAUUCAAUUAUUUCUUGUUGAACAGGGAAAAAAAUACUUCAUAAAUUAAAGAAAUGUCAAGGUACAAGUAUUAAAUCAAGUUUUAAUAUAGUCAAAACCUACUAUUUUAUGUUUACAAAAAAAAAUUAUAAUCGCUCGCCUUUACUUUUUAAGCUUCGCCUCAAAAAUUUGCAAAUUUAAUAUUUUUUUAUUUAAGUUUUCAAAUCGCUCGCUCGCCCCAAUUUUUGGAGUCCAAAAAUCCGUAGAACAAGAAAUUAAUUUGGUGUGGCCUUAGUUCAUUUAUAUGUUUU
rnacentral:lncRNA from 1 species